CCUGGCCGUAAACGAUGAACACUAGGUGUCGGGGGAAUCGACCCCCUCGGUGUCGUAGCCAACGCGUUAAGUGUUCCGCCUGGGGAGUACGCACGCAAGUGUGAAACUCAAAGGAAUUGACGGGGGCCCGCACAAGCGGUGGAGUAUGUGGUUUAAUUCGAUGCAACGCGAAGAACCUUACCAGGGUUUGACAUCCUGCGAAUCUCUUGGAAACGAGAGAGUGCCUUCGGGAGCGCAGUGACAGGUGGUGCAUGGCUGUCGUCAGCUCGUGUCGUGAGAUGUUGGGUUAAGUCCCGCAACGAGCGCAACCCACGUCUUUAGUUGCCAGCAUUUAGUUGGGCACUCUAGAGAGACCGCCGGUGAUAAACCGGAGGAAGGUGUGGAUGACGUCAAGUCAUCAUGCCCCUUACAUCCUGGGCUACACACGUACUACAAUGCUACGGACAAAGGGCAGCAAGUUCGCGAGGACAAGCAAAUCCCAUAAACCGUGGCUCAGUUCAGAUCGUAGGCUGCAACUCGCCUACGUGAAGGAGGAAUCGCUAGUAAUCGCAGGUCAGCAUACUGCGGUGAAUACGUUCCCGGGCCUUGUACACACCGCCCGUCACACCAUGGAAGUUGGCCACGCCCGAAGCCGUUACUC
rnacentral:rRNA from 1 species